CUUAGCACGGCAAGGUAAACCAAAAAUAAUUUUUCCAAAAUUCUCUUAUAAAAGUGAAAUGACUAAUCACAUGACUUUGCAACUCUAAAAAAGUCUUGACCUUCUCUACAAAGCAGGAAAGUAAAGGACUGUCUAAACUCUAAUCUCCAGUUGCCUGACUCUUCCUCGAUUCAUAAAGUUCAUUUGACCAGAGUUCUUCCCUAAAAUGACCUUCCCGACUAAACCUUUCAAUGAGCUAUAAAUCACAGGUUCCCAUUUGCGCAUCGACCACCUACAUCAAUAAGAAACGAAUGUACUGAGGUUCAUGCUUUAUUCUCAAGUGUUCCUCAAGUGAUUACGAAUGAAUCUAAGUAAAUUCUACAAAUCCUCACGUCAAGGGCAAUGCGAUAAAACUUGCAAAACUAUUUUGUAAUCAUGUAAUAAUUCUCGUGUGCCUCCGUUAACAAGCCAUUUUCAUUAUUGGCAGUCAUUAAAAGCGUAUUAUAUGAACGGUAAA